rnacentral:sRNA from 1 species
AUUAAUGAUGCCACGUCAUCGGAAGGAAACAGAUGGCGUGACGGAUGAGAAGGUCAAGA